CAGCAGCCGCGGGAAUACGAGGGGUGCAAGCGUUAUUCGGAUUGAUUGGGUGUAAAGGGUGUGCAGACGGCUUAUUAAGUCACUUGUUAAAUUCUUCGGCCUAACUGAAGGUCUGCAAGUGAUACUGAUGAGCUAGAGGGUGGAAAAGAGAAGUGGAAUUCCCAGUGUAGAGGUGAAAUUCGUAGAUAUUGGGAAGAACACCGGUGGCGAAGGCGGCGACCUGGUCCAUAACUGACGCUGAGGCGCGAAAGCGUGGAGAGCAAACAGGAUUAGAUACCCGGGUAGUCCCUGUCUCUUAUAC
rnacentral:rRNA from 1 species